AAACCGCAAAUGUUACUGUCAAACUAACGGAAUUUACGCGCUUUUGUGUACGUUCGUCGCGCUGUUUGUAAGCGUAUUGAUUUUUUGACUCACUCCUCAAUGAUAUGUUUAAAAAGGCCGGCGCUAUUUAUUUGCUCAGAAAAUAACACUAAUUUAAAUAAAAACCUACGCGGCCUCUUUGUGUUAGCUGUUCGCUUGCGUUUGUAACGCUUGCGAGGGCUGCACUAACGAACAAGCCGUUUAGUAGCCUCUUGUUCGCUGAACUAGCUCGAUAACAUAUGUUGGCUGACUGACUGUUCUCACUCUUUAUAUUGCAAUUCAAAAAGUAACAUUUUACUGAGUUCUUCAUAUGUUUGAGCAUUCAAUGAAAUGCACUUUAUACUAAUUCAAAAUUGACGUUAGAGAUGUAAGAGGAAAAAUACGUGAACCGUAUUAUUUUUAUUGACUACGGUGUGAGAGAUUCUUGAGUACCCUGAACCAUAACAAAAUUCGAGGGCUGCAUAGGCACUGCAAUGUUUACUAUAUUUGUGGAUUGUAUAAUUAACUUAACAGCAUGCUAAGAGCUUAGACAUAUUUUAAAAUUUCUAACCAUGCUCACAACAUAAGAUCCGCAAAAUUUAAUUUUAAAAAUUCUAAUUAAUGUUAAUAAAAUGGUUAAACACA